GAUAGGAUGGUGCAGUGGUUUGAACAUUGGACUACGACUCUGGAGACUGGGGUUCAAAUCCCCAUUCAGCUA